rnacentral:lncRNA from 1 species
ACAGCCUUAGCUAUAUCGAUCAAUAAAAUUUGAUUUCGACGGUCGCGAAUGACUGCAUGAUGAUCUGAUAAAUAGAGACCAUCGAUGGAUCCAAAAUUUUAUAAUAAUAAUCUCGAUGAUAUUUAUAGUAUACUAUCAAAAUUUUACUUCAAUUAGACAUCAUUAUCAUAGUCAAUUUAGUACGAGAUAAUUUCAAUCGUUAAAUAAAAAAUGAGUGAUCAAAAGGCCAAA